UGUUAAAAUUUUUAUCAAUUUAUACUGUUAAAAAUUGACGUAACUGACAGAAUAACCGGACAGUGACACAUGACGUGCCAUAUGUAUAUAUACAAGACUAGUUUUUAAUCGUAAGAAUGAAUAGAAUUUUUAAUA
rfam:Gossypium arboreum cultivar AKA8401 contig_3541_3, whole genome shotgun sequence.